UUCAUUCCCAAGGACGUGGCCUUCUCCAGGCAGCUCUGCAAACAUCUGCAAGAUCGGCUCCCCGCCUGGGGACGCCGGAUCCUUUCCAGAGCCGAGUGGACGAAACUUUGAUCUCUACCGGCAGGUUGUUUUGUUGUCUUCAACCCUGCUGCGUUCUGGGGGGCUCUGCCAUGGGGCUGUCGUUUGCUCGCCCUGGGUUCAGAGGGGAUGAAAAGGAAAGUGAAAGCGAAACGGCGUCGGAGCCGGGAGGAAUUCCCAGGUUGAGGAGAGAGAACUUGGGCGCUACAUUAAAUCAAGAUUAUACAAGAGUC